rnacentral:rRNA from 1 species
UACGGAGGGUGCAAGCGUUAUCCGGAUUCACUGGGUUUAAAGGGUGCGUAGGCGGGCAGGUAAGUCAGUGGUGAGAUCUCCGGGCUUAACCCGGAACUGCCGUUGAUACUAUCUGUCUUGAAUAUUGUGGAGGUAAGCGGAAUAUGUCAUGUAGCGGUGAAAUGCUUAGAUAUGACAUAGAACACCAAUUGCGAAGGCAGCUGGCUACACGAAUAUUGACACUGAUGCACGAAAGCGUGGGGAUCAAACAGG